AUUGAACGCUGGCGGAAUGCUUUACACAUGCAAGUCGAACGGUAGAGGGGGCAACCCCUCGAGAGUGGCUAACGGGUGAGUAAUAUAUCGGAACGUGCCCAGUCGUGGGGGAUAACGUAGUGAAAAAUACGCUAAUACCGCAUACGAUCUAAGACUGAAAGCGGGGUAUCGCAAAACCUCGCGCGAUUGGAGCGGCCGAUCUCAGAUUAGGUAGUUGGUAGGGUAAAGGCCUCCCUAGCCAACGAUCUGUAGCUGGUCUGAGAGGACGACCAGCCACACUGGAAGUGAGACACGGUCCAGACUACUACGGGAGGCAGCAGUGGGGAAUUUUGGACAAUGGGCGAAAGCCUGAUCCAGCCAUUCCGCGUGCAGGAUGAAGGCCCUCGGGUUGUAAACUGCUUUUGUACAGAACGAAAAGGUCUCUAUUAAUACUAGGGGCUCAUGACGGUACUGUAAGAAUAAGCACCGGCUAACUACGUGCCAGCAGCCGCCGCAG
rnacentral:rRNA from 1 species